AUGUACACACAUUGUUCUAGCUACUGUUUUUUAAGGUAACCGUAUGUCAUGAACAUCAAUGACAAUAGACAUUUUUAAUGACCUCAUAAUAUUUUCUUGUUUGCAUGUAUAUUUAUUAAAUUAGUGUCCUAUUGUUGAACAUUUGAGUCAUUUCUGAUUAUUUUUCUUAUUCUAUGCAAUGAUUUAAUUAACAUCUUUAGUUUUCUGAUAUGAAACAUCAAAACUCUGCUUUGGUGUAGACUUAGGGAAAGAUAGAGGCCACCUGCAGAAGGCUUUAUCUUCGUGUUUUAAUUUUCUUCUGUCAUUUGAAUUUGUACUUUGUACUUUGUGUUGGUGGAGAUACUGGGGGUUUAACCCAGGAGCACUUUACCACUGAGCUAUAUCCCAACCCUGGUUUUUUGUUGUGUUUUUGUUUUUUUGGUUGGGGAGAGAUACCUGGGAUUGAACUCAGGGGCACUUACCCACUGAGCCACAUCUCCAACCCUAUUUUAUAUUUUAUUUAGAGACAAGGUCUUACUGAGUUGGUUAGCGCCUCACCAUUGCUGAGGAUGGCUUUGAACUCAUGGUCCUCCUGCCUCAGCCUCUCAAGCCACUAAGAUUAUAGGCAUGUACCACUGUGCCAGGCAUGCUUUUGAUUUUUUUACUCUGAGACAGGGUCUCACUGCUAAGUUGCUGAACCUUCUAUCCUAACUUUAAAAAUGUUAACAGGGAUUACUUGAGCUGUGGGAUGAUUAGCCAUUACUUGCUCUUCUUUAUUUUCUAAAAAGAAGUUAACCAUACACAUAACUAAAUUCUCUUACUCAUUUAUUCAUCCUAGGUUUCCUCUCUU
rnacentral:lncRNA from 1 species